GUCAUCUAUGCCAUUCAAAAUUAUUAAAUUUCUGCGUCAGUAAAAUUUUGUUUGAAAAAUUCUGUAGACUUACUUAAUGUGAAAUUUUGCGUAGUACAGCCCAAGACGCAUUCAUUGAAGGUGAAGGCAUUGGACUAACAACAACAUUUUGCUCGAUGGAAUGCCAUGCCAAAAGAAAAUAAAAAAGAAAAGGACGAACUGCCUUGAAUAGCAUUAGAAUCCAGAAUCAUACAACGAUUGUGCGAAUGGGACGACUUUUCGUCAAAUCAUUUUGUGCUGGCAUCCGAAUGUACGUGGCGAAAGAAAGAAAAAACAAAUCAGCUAAUCUACUGAUAUCACCUUUAAUAGAUUCGCCUUGGUACAGCCGAUUUGUUAUAUUCGACUUCGACAGAGUGACCUUUUUCAAAGAUUGUAAAUAUUUGAAACUUUGCAUGAACAUUUUUAGGAUUUCCUUGAACACAUCUCCUUUUUGUUUGCUCAAACGAAAUCUUUGAUAGCUUUCUGCUAGCACGUCGACUACAUUAAACCAAAAUGCCAAGCAAAAUAGCCACGAAGUUACCAAUUUAUUACCCAUCUAAGGAGUUACUGUUAAUAAAUAUCGGCAUGAAUUUUCACACAGCAUGAAAGCAGGUUUCGGGUGAAUUAACGUAGGAACGAAAUGCGCUAUCAAUUCAAUAGAAUGUACGCAGCGCAGAAACACUGGAACACAGGAAACAUCAUUUGAGCCAUUUUCUUGAAAUCGUUAAUGAAAACACACAAAGCGGCUAUCUCAAAGUGGCUCUCAACUGGCUGAGAACCAACAAAAGAAAUACUAAAUGGGUAAUUUCGGCUACAAACUGGCGACCUCGUGCAAGCAAAGAAGUGGACAGAAUUUUAGUAUAUCUAAGAAUGUAAAUAUGUGGGUUUAGAGUUAAGAGAACCUUCUUUAAGUUAUCUGAAGUAAACAAAAAAAAAAAAAAUGAAUUAAUUACGUGCCUCACAGCUAAGCUCAUGGAGACAGAGUGGAAAAUGAGCAAAUAACACAGAAGCUCCUAUUCAAAUGUUAAAAAACAUUUCUAAUUUGCAAAUGUUUACGUAUUUAAAAUGUAAAUUAACCCUUAACAAUCAGUGUUUUCGAAAUUUGUUUAGGUAUAAAAAUUUU